rnacentral:rRNA from 1 species
UACGGAGGAUGCAAGCGUUAACCGGAUUUAUUGGGCGUAAAGCGUCCGCAGGUGGUUUUCCAAGUCUGCUGUUAAAGCGCGAGGCUUAACCUCGUACAGGCAGUGGAAACUGGAUGACUAGAGUAUGGUAGGGGUAGCGGGAAUUCCCAGUGUAGCGGUGAAAUGCGUAGAUAUUGGGAAGAACACCAGCGGCGAAAGCGCGCUACUGGGCCAUUACUGACACUCAUGGACGAAAGCUAGGGGAGCGAAAGGG